GAUGAACGCUGGCGGCGUGCCUAAUACAUGCAAGUCGAGCGAACGGACGAGAAGCUUGCUUCUCUGAUGUUAGCGGCGGACGGGUGAGUAACACGUGGAUAACCUACCUAUAAGACUGGGAUAACUUCGGGAAACCGGAGCUAAUACCGGAUAAUAUUUUGAACCGCAUGGUUCAAAAGUGAAAGACGGUCUUGCUGUCACUUAUAGAUGGAUCCGCGCUGCAUUAGCUAGUUGGUACGGUAACGGCUUACCAAGGCAACGAUGCAUAGCCGACCUGAGAGGGUGGUCGGCCACACGAGAACGGGGACACGCACCAGACGCCUAAGGGAGGCAGCAGUAGGGAAUCGUCCGCAAUGGGCGAAAGCCUGACGGAGCAACGCCGCGUGAGUGAUAAAGGUCUUCGGAUCGUAAAACUCUGUUAUUAGGGAAGAACAUAUGUGUAAGUAACUGUGCACAUCUUGACGGUACCUAAUCAGAAAGCCACGGCUAACUACGUG
rnacentral:rRNA from 1 species